rnacentral:rRNA from 1 species
UGGGCAACCUGCCCCUCUCUCUGGGAUAACCCCGGGAAACCGGAGCUAAUACCGGAUACUCCGGCUGGAUCGCAUGGUCCGGCCGGGAAAGGUCCGCCGGAGAGGGAUGGGCCCGCGGCCUAUCAGCUUGUUGGUGGGGUCAUGGCUCACCAAGGCAACGACGGGUAGCUGGU